rnacentral:rRNA from 1 species
UACGGAGGAUGCGAGCGUUAUCCGGAUUUAUUGGGUUUAAAGGGUGCGCAGGCGGGAGAUUAAGUCGGCGGUGAAAUUUUGCAGCUCAACUGUAAAAGUGCCUUCGAAACUGGUUUCCUUGAGUGUAGAUGAAGUAGGCGGAAUUUGUGGUGUAGCGGUGAAAUGCAUAGAUAUCACGAGGAACUCCGAUUGCGCAGGCAGCUUACUAAACUACUACUGACGCUCAGGCACGAAGGCGUGGGGAGUCAAACAGGAUUAGAUACCCCGGUACGU